GAUUAUGGCUCAGAUUGAACGCUGGCGGAAUGCUUACACAUGCAAGUCGAGCGGCAGCGCGGGGCAACCUGGCGGCGAGCGGCGAACGGGUGAGUAAUACAUCGGAACGUGCCUAGGUGUGGGGGGAUAGCCCGGCGAAAGCCGGAUUAAUACCGCAUACGAUCUACGGAUGAAAGCGGGGGAUCGCAAGGCCUCGCGCACUUGGAGCGGCUGAUGGCAGAUUAGGUAGUUGGUGGGGUAAAGGCCUACCAAGCCUACGAUCUGUAGCUGGUCUGAGAGGACGACCAGCCACACUGGGACUGAGACACGGCCCAGACUCCUACGGGAGGCAGCAGUGGGGAAUUUUGGACAAUGGGCGAAAGCCUGAUCCAGCCAUUCCGCGUGCAAGGAUGAAGGCCCUCGGGUUGUAAACUGCUUUUGUACAGAACGAAAAGGCUCUGGUUAAUACCUGGGGCUCAUGACGGUACUGUAAGAAUAAGCACCGGCUAACUACGUGCCAGCCGCCGC
rnacentral:rRNA from 1 species